UGUGCGCGCUCACUGGCCUCUUUGUGCUGACGGCUGCUGCUGCUGCUGCUGCUGCUGGGGUGCACUGUGCUUACACAGCUCCCACCCUCUGAGACCCACAGCUCCUCCUUUCUGCUCUGUUCAUCCAUCGAAUAUGCAGAGCCGUGGUGGCUGCCGGCUCGUGUCCACACUGCUGCCGUUACUGUUGCUGUAAAGCCCUCGGGUGACCACAUUGGCACCCUCCACAGCCUACUCCCCAGCAUCAACAUCCUGUCUCACUCUCCACUGCCUCGAUUCCAUUCUUAACCUCCUCCCACCUUCCCCCACUGGCUGGUUCAACGUCAGGGCAUCCCUGCCUCCCUGCUUGGCCUGCUGUGCCCGACUCCAUGGCCUCCUUGCCACAGUACCUUCGGGCUCCCUCCAUGUGUACUCUGCUGCCUGCCUGCUUCAGCUGUGCUGCCUUGCCCUACCACACCCUUGCUGCUUAGAGCACGGCCUUCCCCCCAGGCCCUUCCCUUCUCUCCAUCUUCACAGUGGCGACCUGAGUUUUUCUCUCAUCGUUUCCAUGGUGACCUCACUUGCACCAUUGUCCCUGAGACAGCCUCAGGUCAUGGUCAGCUCAGUGGGUGUCUUGGAGAUUCACCCCAUCAUUGCUGUUGGGGUUGCCUUCCUUCCUCCCUCCUGAGGAGUUACACCUGCUCCAGGGGGACCCUGUGGUGUGCUGCCUGUUC
rnacentral:lncRNA from 1 species